rnacentral:rRNA from 1 species
UACAGAGGUCUCAAGCGUUGGUCGGAUUCAUUGGGCGUAAAGGGUGCGUAGGCGGCGCGGUAAGUCGGGUGUGAAAGCCCCGGGCUCAACCUGGGAAUUGCAUUCGAGACUGCGAAGCUAGGGUGCGGAAGAGGGAAGCGGAAUUUCCGGUGUAGCGGUGAAAUGCGUAGAUAUCGGAAGGAACAUCAGUGGCGAAAGCGGCUUCCUGGUCCAGCGCCGACGCUCAGGCACGAAAGCGUGGGGAGCAAACAGG